CCUGUAUUCCCGCCCUUACACAGCGGUGACCUUUAACUUUUGAAGGGGUGAAAGGUCAAUCAUCCUUCUAACGGCAACAGAAAAUAGAAGAAGAAAAUAUGAUGCUCAAACGGAUGACGCUGAUGGACGUCUCAAAACCCCAACAAUGGUGUCUGCACGACUACAUCGCAAAAAGUCAGUAAGGCCUCCAGACGGACUCAUCCAAGCGGCCCGAGGCACUCAUGGCCGUGGGGGAGUUGCUGUGGCUGCCGUCAGCCUCCACGCCGUCGCUCUGGGUGUUCAGGCCCGGAUUCAUCAGGCUGUUGGUCCCUCCAGUGCCCGUGGCCCCUGAGCAGGACAGCAGGCGAGUGGGGGAGCGCUCACCCCCAGAGUUUCCAGGUGCUACCAUGGAAAACUGAUAGGAUCCAGAGCCUGUGCCAUAAUACAGAGCGGCGGAUUCGCGUUGGGCUUUGAGGUGCGCAGAGGCAUCGCAUCAUGGCAGCCGAGCAGCUGGAGGGCGAAGCGCUGCAGCCUCACAUAAAAGAACCCAUAAAGCCGAGACCUCAGUUACCCCAAAUGCCCCAGAGCUCAACACACGUGCACAGAUCAGCCCCAGCCAGACCAGAAUAGAGCCGACCAUGGGCCUGCCACAAACCCAACCGAUCCCAGUGACCUCGGUGCAUCAUCGGGAUCUGAGCUCACACAGAUAAUGGAAACACGCUUCCUGUUUCAGUUUGUAUUUGUCCCUGCCGGGGAAGAAAUCCAUCAGUCGUCCCCCAGCCUGAUGCAGAACCACAAGGCUCUGGCCUGCCACCGCUGCCUGAGAGCUCCGUGGUGACUGGAGCCAGACCACUCUGCGCCCACCGCUGACCAGCCGGCUAACCACACACUCCACCGCUUCCAGCACACACACCUCUGCUUCCGGGCGGGAUGAGGGACUCUGGCCAUCAGUCGAGUGACAGCUGCCGCCCUGACCCCGGACUGACCCGCAUGCAGCACAGGCAGGGCCAUUUUACAAUCACAGCCUUUUACUGCCUCUACGUUUAGUUAUUUGACCUAAUGUUCAAAUGCUCUUUGUGCAUCUGAAUUUGAAACUAAAAACAUCACGGGUGCAAGUCCCGUAGUGAGAAUAUGCAAAUAAAUCGCUCCACUUCAUGCAAAUGCGCAGAUGCACUCUGUACUUGACGUAUUGUCCCAAACCUCAAGAGGACCGGCUGAGGAGUGUGUGAAAUGAUGCUUUUUGCUCACACUCUGCAUCUCUGCGGUUAAUCAUUGUAUUCAGACCUCCUGUAGUUUUGUCUGCUAAUCCUGAAACAACCCAGCUGCAUCUGUACAGUCACGGGCUUUGCAUGUGAGGACAAACAAAGAGUAAAAGCAAGGACAGAUUCCCAUUCUACCGCCCGCCAGCUUUGGCCCCAGUAGCAGCUGAAGAGGCAGCGAGAGCAGCGAGAAGCAAGGGGGGCCGCCUGUGUGGUCCUUCCUGAGAGCGUGUUCUGUUUAACUCUUGCCAAAGUGUUUUCAAGUGCUACAAGUGCAUUAAUGCCACGGGUCACGCCUCUGCUUGGGUAACCUCUGACCCCACCCCCCGGCCUCCACCCCGGCUUCAGGCGACGCAGUGAGCUCAUGCUGAGGGGUCAUUCCUCCGCGGCUGCAGAGACGAGGACCGGCCGGCCCGUAAUGAGCUCCUCAUGGAUCUUUAAUGGCUGCUCUCCGUUAGUGUUAGUGUUCGCGCUGGGGGAGAAGGAGGGGGGGGUGU